rnacentral:lncRNA from 1 species
AAAAAUUCCUGUUUGGUUAAAAUUGUCAUGUCAACUUUUAUGAGGUGAUAUUAGAAUGCAAAUGUAACACAGAAGACUGUUGGCAAUGAAGGUGAAUGACUCCAUUUGCAACCAUAAAAUCUGGACUUCUUGCUGAGGGUGAGGACAGAGGUUAAGGAACUAGACGAGUUCAGCCUUCAGCUAAUGUACUUCCAAAAUAGACCUUAAAAAUCUUAUGACUGAUUGGGAAAAAAAAAAUCUGUUCAAUUUUUAAAUAUCACUUUCAAUGAAACACCCAGUUGUACUGGGUGAAUUUGCACUUAGUAUGUCAGGAUUUAAAGACUUUGAAAGGAAUGUUUUAAAGAAGGAAAUGAUGCUCAUUUGGUCAUCAUCCAAAUUCAGCUCAAAAUUAUCAUGGGAGUUGAGUAUAUGUACCCAUCUAGUAGAUGGUAUCCUAUAAGGAAACAUGCAAUCAAAUAUUCUGAAUCUUAACUUUGUUUUCUUCAUGGGAUUUUUGUCAAGUAAUUGGCAUGUAGUUGUGUGUAAAAUUGCAACAUGUUGCAUCUCCCUAUCUGGACAGCUAACAUUUGCUCAAGAGCUCAUUGCAAGAAAUCACUCAGCAAAAAUUUGCAAAAAUUCAAAAGAAUGUUCUUACUUAAAACCUGCCCUCAGUUCAUUGUUAAAUCUAACAGAUAAACAGCCUAUGCUUAAUCACCUAAACUGUUGAUGGACCAAAGUUGAUAUUUCACACCUACUAAAAGACGUGGCCAGUGGUAUGUGUUCUGCAC